rnacentral:rRNA from 1 species
AGAACGAACGCUGGCGGCAGGCCUCAAACAUGCAAGUCUAGGGGGUGUAGCAAUACAUCACCGGCGGACGGGUGCGUAACGCGUGGGAAUGUACCUAUUGGUUCGGAACAACUGAGGGAAACUUCAGCUAAUACCGGAUGAGCCCGCAAGGGGAAAGAUUUCUCGCCAAUAGAUCAGCCCGCGUCCGAUUAGCUAGUUGGUGGGGUUAAAGCCUACCAAGGCAACGAUCGGUAGCUGUUCUGAGAGGAAGAUCAGCCACACUGGGACUGAGACACGGCCCAGACUCCUACGGGAGGCAGCAGUUGGGAAUCUUGGACAAUGGGGGAAACCCUGAUCCAGCCAUGCCGCGUGAGUGAUGAAGGCCUUCGGGUUGUAAAACUCUUUCGACGGGGACGAUAAUGACGGUACCCGUAGAAGAAGCUCCGGCUAACUUCGUGCCAGCAGCCGC